AACAAUCGUUGGGUUUUAUUCUGGCUCCGAGUGAACGCUGGUAACAUAUUUUAACACAUGCAAAUCGAACGAGAUUUUCUAAAUCUAGUGGUGACCUGGUGAGUAAUGUAAGAGAAUCGAAGUGCAGGUUAGGUCAAAUACCUAAUUUGAAAGAUUUAUAUCGCUUGCAAUAGAGCUCUUAUAGGAUUAGGUAGUUGUUGUAGUAAUUAUUCAACAAGCCGACGAUGCUUAGCUGGUUUGAGAGAAUGAUCAGCCACAUUGGGACUGAAAACGGCCCAAGUCUUUUAAAAGGGCAGCAGUGGAGAAUAUUUGACAAUGGGCGAAAGCUUGAUCGAGUAAUGUUACGUGGGUGAUCAGAAGGCUUAAUUGCUGUAAAACUCGUUUCGUCAAGGAUUAUAAUGCAAUCGUACUUGAAGGAGAAGCCCUGACUAACUUCGUGCCAGCAGUCGCGGUAAUACGGAGAGGGCUAGUGUUAUUCGCAUUGACUGGGUGUAAAGGGUGCGUAGGUGGUCUAUUAAGUUUUGAGACAAAAGUUAGACUUAGAGUUUAAUUAUCUCCUAAUACUAAUAGACUAGAGUUUAUUGGAAGAUGGCUGAACAUUAAGUGUAAAGGUGAAAUUUUUCGAUAUUUAAAGGGCAUUCGUUAGGCGAAGGCUGUCAUCUACUUUAAUACUGACACUGAGGCACAAAAGCAUAGGGAUCAAACAGGAUUAGAGACCCUGGUAGUCUAUGCCCUGACCGAUGAAUAUUGAUUACGUUUAGUUACGUAAUUAAGCUAACGCGUAAAUAUUCCACCUGAGUACUACGACCGCAAGGUUAAAACUCAAAGAAACUGACGGAAGAUUGUAUAAGCGGUGGAGUAUGUGGUUUAAUUUGAUAUAACGCAAAAAAUCUUACCAACUCUUGAAUACAAAUUGCGUUUACAUUCCGAAGUAAGGNNNCUUACUUCGGAAUGUCGCAGUGCUUCUUUUGUUAAAAGAAGCACUUGAUUUGUACAGGUGCUGCAUGGUUGUCGGCAGUUCGUGUUGUGAAAUGUUUUGUUAAUUCAUUUAACGGACGUAACCUUCAGUCAUAUUUCAAUUCAGUAUAUGGCAACAUUAAUUUCAAAAUUAAUUGAGAGGAGAAGAAGUCAAAUCAUUAUGGCCUAUAUAAGUUGGGCUACACACGUACUACAAUGGUAAUCACAAUGUGAAGCAAAAACGCAAGUUUUAGCUAAUCAUUAAAAAUUAACCUAAGUUCGAAUUGCUCUCUGAAAGUCGAGAGCAUGAAGUCGGAAUCGCUAGUAAUCGCANAAUAGAAUGCUGCGGUGAAUACAUUCUCAAUCUUUGUACACACCGCCCGUCACGCCAUGGGAAUUGGUUUGGUUAGAAGUUUUGUAGAAUUUAAGCGUUAUUUGUGAGGAAUACUUUUUUCCACGAAUAGGUUAAAUUGCUAGGAACGACAACUAGAUUGAGGACUGGGGUGAAGUCGUAACAAGGUAGCGGUAGGGGAACC
rnacentral:rRNA from 1 species